rnacentral:rRNA from 1 species
GGAAGAAGGUUUUCGGAUUGUAAACUUCUGUUAUUGGGGAAGAUAAUGGCGGUACUCAACAAGGAAGUACCGGCUAACUACGUGCCAGCAGCCGCGGUAACACGUAGGUCGCAAGCGUUGUCCGGAAUUACUGGGUGUAAAGGGAGCGCAGGCGGGAAGACAAGUUGGAAGUGAAAUCCAUGGGCUCAACCCAUGAACUGCUUUCAAAACUGUUUUUCUUGAGUAGUGCAGAGGUAGGCGGAAUUCCCGGUGUAGCGGUGGAAUGCGUAGAUAUCGGGAGGAACACCAGUGGCGAAGGCGGCCUACUGGGCACCAACUGACGCUGAGGCUCGAAAGUGUGGGUAGCAAACAAAAUUAGAUACCCUGGUAGUCCACGCCGUAACCGACCCCAUAAAAGAGUGUUGGAGGAUUGACCCCUUCUGUGCCGCAGUUAACACAAUAAGUAAUCCCCCUGGGGUGUCCGACCGCAAGGUUGAAACUCAAGGGAGUUGACGGGGGCCCCGCACAAGCCGUGGAGUAUGUGGUUUAAUUCGACGCAACGCGAAGACCCUUCCCAAGUCCUGACAUCCUGCGACGAUGCUGGAAACAGUAUUUUCCUCCGGGACGCAGAGACAGGUGGUGCAUGGUUGUCGUCAGCUCGUGUCGUGAGAUGUCGGGUCAAGUCCCGCAACGAGCGCAACCCUUACUGUCAGUUUCUACGCAAGAGGACUCUGGCAGGACUGCCGUUGACAAAACGGAGGAAGGUGGGGAUGACGUCAAAUCAUCCUGCCCCCUAUGACUUGGGCUACCCCCGUAGUACAAUGGGGUUAAACAAAGAGAAGCAAGACCGCGAGGCGGAGCAAAACUCAGAAACAACGUCCCAGUUCGGACUGCAGGCUGCAACUCGCCUGCACGAAGUCGGAAUUGCUAGUAAUCGUGGAUCAGCAUGCCACGGUGAAUACGUUCCCGGGCCUUGCACUCACCACCCGUCAA